AUGGCCAGGAGCUGGGAAUGGCCGGGAGCUGGGAAUGGCCAGGAGCUGGGACUGGGCAGGAGCCGGGAAUGGCCGGGAGCUGGGAAUGGCCGGGAGAUGGGAAUGGCCAGGAGCUGGGAAUGGGCAGGAGCUGGGAAUGGCCGGGAGCUGGGAAUGGCCAGGAGCUGGGACUGGGCAGGAGCCGGGAAUGGCCGGGAGCUGGGAAUGGCCGGGAGAUGGGAAUGGCCAGGAGCUGGGAAUGGGCAGGAGCUGGGAAUGGCCGGGAGCUGGGAAUGGCCAGGAGCUGGGACUGGGCAGGAGCCGGGAAUGGCCGGGAGCUGGGAAUGGCCGGGAGAUGGGAAUGGCCAGGAGCUGGGAAUGGGCAGGAGCUGGGAAUGGCCGGGAGCUGGGAAUGGCCAGGAGCUGGGACUGGGCAGGAGCCGGGAAUGGCCGGGAGCUGGGAAUGGCCGGGAGAUGGGAAUGGCCAGGAGCUGGGAAUGGGCAGGAGCUGGGAAUGGCCGGGAGCUGGGAAUGGCCAGGAGCUGGGACUGGGCAGGAGCCGGGAAUGGCCGGGAGCUGGGAAUGGCCGGGAGAUGGGAAUGGCCAGGAGCUGGGAAUGGGCAGGAGCUGGGAAUGGCCGGGAGCUGGGAAUGGCCAGGAGCUGGGACUGGGCAGGAGCUGGGAAUGGCCGGGAGCUGGGAAUGGCCAGGAGCUGGGACUGGGCAGGAGCUGGGAAUGGCCGGGAGCUGGGAAUGGCCAGGAGCUGGGACUGGGCAGGAGCUGGGAAUGGCCGGGAGCUGGGAAUGGCCAGGAGCUGGGACUGGGCAGGAGCUGGGAAUGGCCGGGAGCUGGGAAUGGCCAGGAGCUGGGACUGGGCAGGAGCUGGGAAUGGCCGGGAGCUGGGAAUGGCCAGGAGCUGGGACUGGGCAGGAGCUGGGAAUGGCCGGGAGCUGGGAAUGGCCAGGAGCUGGGACUGGGCAGGAGCUGGGAAUGGCCGGGAGCUGGGAAUGGCCAGGAGCUGGGACUGGGCAGGAGCUGGGAAUGGCCGGGAGCUGGGAAUGGCCAGGAGCUGGGACUGGGCAGGAGCUGGGAAUGGCCGGGAGCUGGGAAUGGCCAGGAGCUGGGACUGGGCAGGAGCUGGGAAUGGCCGGGAGCUGGGAAUGGCCAGGAGCUGGGACUGGGCAGGAGCUGGGAAUGGCCGGGAGCUGGGAAUGGCCAGGAGCUGGGACUGGGCAGGAGCUGGGAAUGGCCGGGAGCUGGGAAUGGCCAGGAGCUGGGACUGGGCAGGAGCUGGGAAUGGCCGGGAGCUGGGAAUGGCCAGGAGCUGGGACUGGGCAGGAGCUGGGAAUGGCCGGGAGCUGGGAAUGGCCAGGAGCUGGGACUGGGCAGGAGCUGGGAAUGGCCGGGAGCUGGGAAUGGCCAGGAGCUGGGACUGGGCAGGAGCUGGGAAUGGCCGGGAGCUGGGAAUGGCCAGGAGCUGGGACUGGGCAGGAGCUGGGAAUGGCCGGGAGCUGGGAAUGGCCAGGAGCUGGGACUGGGCAGGAGCUGGGAAUGGCCGGGAGCUGGGAAUGGCCAGGAGCUGGGACUGACCAGGAGCUGGGACUGGGCAGGAGCUGGGACUGGCCAGGAGCUGGGACUGGCCUGACAGCGGGAGUGGGACACAGCAGGACACCCUCACCACGUCCCACCACGUCCCCGCAGCCCGUCUGCAUUUUGGAGCGGGGUGUGAAGCAAACAUGA
rnacentral:lncRNA from 1 species